rnacentral:hammerhead_ribozyme from 1 species
GCGUUGCUGAAGAGUUCCAUACUAGGACGAAACGGCCGUUCAAUAC